rnacentral:rRNA from 1 species
ACGCACGCUGGCGGCGUGCUUAACACAUGCAAGUCGAACGGAAAGGCCCUGCUUUUGUGGGGUGCUCGAGUGGCGAACGGGUGAGUAACACGUGAGUAACCUGCCCUUGACUUUGGGAUAACUUCAGGAAACUGGGGCUAAUACCGGAUAGGAGCUCCUGCUGCAUGGUGGGGGUUGGAAAGUUUCGGCGGUUGGGGAUGGACUCGCGGCUUAUCAGCUUGUUGGUGGGGUAGUGGCUUACCAAGGCUUUGACGGGUGGCCGGCCUGAGAGGGUGACCGGCCACAUUGGGACUGAGAUACGGCCCAGACUCCUACGGGAGGCAGCAGUGGGGAAUAUUGCACAAUGGGCGGAAGCCUGAUGCAGCAACGCCGCGUGCGGGAUGACGGCCUUCGGGUUGUAAACCGCUUUCGCCUGUGACGAAGCGUGAGUGACGGUAAUGGGUAAAGAAGCACCGGCUAACUACGUG